rnacentral:pre_miRNA from 1 species
UGAAGUACUAGGAUAGGAAGUGACAGAAGAGAGGGAGCACAGAUUCCUUUAUUUAGGCUUUCCAUCUAGUUUAAGUUGGAUUCUCUUGGAUAAUCCUUUGGCUGUGCACACAAACAAGUUCCUUCUUGAACUCCAGGGAGUUGUUCUUCCUUCGCCUUUCAUUGUGGCCCGCUAAACGCCUCCUACAACUUCUUUU